rnacentral:rRNA from 1 species
GUGUCAGCCGCCGCGGUAAUACGUAGGGUGCAAGCGUUAAUCGGAAUUACUGGGCGUAAAGGGUACGCAGGCGGCUAGGCAAGAAAGGUGUGAAAGCCCUGGGCUUAACCUAGGAAUUGCACUUUUAACUGCUUAGCUAGAGUACGUCAGAGGGGGGUGGAAUUCCACGUGUAGCAGUGAAAUGCGUAGAUAUGUGGAGGAACACCGAUGGCGAAGGCAGCCCCCUGGGAUGAUACUGACGCUCAGGUACGAAAGCGUGGGGAGCAAACAGGAUUAGAUACCCUGGUAGUCCACGCCCUAAACGAUGUCAACUAGCUGUUGGGGUCAUUAGACCUUAGUAGCGCAGCUAACGCGUGAAGUUGACCGCCUGGGGACUACGGCCGCAAGGCUAAA